AUUGAACGCUGGCGGCAGGCCUAACACAUGCAAGUCGAACGGCAACAGGAAGAAGCUUGCUUCUUUGCUGACGAGUGGCGGACGGGUGAGUAAUGUCCGUGAAACUGCCUGAUGGAGGGGGAUAACUACUGGAAACGGUAACUAAUACCGCACAACGUCGCAAGACCAAAGAGCGGGAGCUCCGGGCCUCUUGCCAUCGGAUGUGCCCAGAUGGGAUUAGCUAGUAGGUGGGGUAACGGCUCACCUAGGCGACGAUCCCUAGCUGGUCUGAGAGGAUGACCAGCCACACUGGAACUGAGACACGGUCCAGACUCCUACGGGAGGCAGCAGUGGGGAAUAUUGCACAAUGGGCGCAAGCCUGAUGCAGCCAUGCCGCGUGUAUGAAGAAGGCCUUCGGGUUGUAAAGUACUUUCGGCGGGGAGGAAGAGAAUAAAGUUAAUACCUUUGCUCAUUGACGUUACCCGCAGAAGAAGCACCGGCUAACUCCGUG
rnacentral:rRNA from 1 species